rnacentral:lncRNA from 1 species
AGAGAAGUCAUCGAUGUCAGGAGACUCCUCCCAGGUUGAGUCACUCCCUUGUGGCUAUGUUCGUACAGUCAAUCACAAGGCAUGUUCAGUGUGUGUGUGUGUGUGUGUGUGUGUGUCUGUGUGUGUGUCUGUGUGUCUGUGUGUCUGUGUAUCUGUGUGUGUCUGUGUGUGUGUGUACACUAAACUUUGUGAAUUAGAACUUUCAAGAUGGCUGAGUUGGUGAAUUUGGGCAAAGCUACCCGAUGUCAUACCCAAGUAGUGCCUUGCGUGAGCUUUCUCACUGAGCUUGUAGAAAACUCAGUUUGCACAUCUAUCUGUUCAUAUUAUUCAAGGUUUCCACUUGUCUUUCCUCAGUGGAAAACUGUCAGAAGCUCAUCAACUUGGUCCAGAGUAAAAAGACAGGACAGUGUUCUCUUUGCUCUGAGGUGGAUUUCAGAGGCUUCCUGCUGUCUGUUCUCUCCCUGCUUCCUACCUGCCAGAACGUUUGGCUAAGGUAUGGGGAGUGGUCUGAGGAUGAGACAUAGAUGAUCGCCAUGCCUCACCUCACCUGUCUUCCACUUCAAAAAGUGGAUGCUGAAAUCCUUUCUCCCAGUGCCGAAGGUGAUGGGAAGUCGGCACUUGUAUUUCUCUUUUCUGCUUGUUUCUUUAGAAACUGCACCCCAGUGAUCUUUUUCUCCAUACUCUGAUUACUGCUUGAGAUUUUUGCAGUUAGACACGUGUAAACAUGCUAAUGGUUCUGGUUGGUGUCUAAGGGGAAAAGUCAUUUGUUCCCUUUUAAUUUCUUUCUGAUCAUAGUUCUCAACUUGGGUUUCCAAGACCAGCUAGAGUCAGACACAGAGGCCAUGGUGGGCAACGUUAUACAUCAUGAGGUGUUUUAUCCUUAUUAUAAACCUACAGCAUCCCCAGAGCACUUAGGACCAAUGUGAUGGGGACCAUUUUCCAGUUAUGGUUUAGAGGCUAGUCAUUCAGUUCUUUGGUGUCUACUUCCACUUAUUUCUUCCUGUUUUCCCCUUUCCAUAGCAUCUCCCAUUAUCACUGCCAUGGCUGUGACUAAAAUUUUUAUUUUCAUUUUCAACUGAAAAACACUGAGACUCGAAGACCCCUCCCCCACCUCUGUAAUCCAUCGAUUUGGUAUCUGUGCUGGAGACCAAGCAGAGCCUUCUUAUAGGUCACACUCAACCCCUAAUAAAUCUAAGGAAACAGCAGGGCUCUUAAUAUACCCCCAGUGAAGGUAAAUCUUAUGAGAUUACAUUUCAACAGCGAAAAAGACAGGCAGAAUAAUUUCGGUGUGAAAUGUGUAAAGCCAUAUUUACAGAGCAUCUCUUGAUGCUGUUCCCAGAUGUCUUUAAAAAGAAACUUUUUAGCUACAUACAAAGAAACUGAAAACCAGGAAUAUAAUUAAUUGGCAAGAAAUAUAAAUUUAUUAUAAAAAAAAGAACAUCAACAACAAAAACAAACC